UACAGAGGUCUCAAGCGUUGUUCGGAUUCAUUGGGCGUAAAGGGUGCGUAGGUGGUCAGGUAAGUCGGAUGUGAAAUCCCGGGGCUCAACCUCGGAACUGCAUUCGAUACUGCCUGACUGGAGUACUGGAGAGGAGAUUGGAAUUUACGGUGUAGCAGUGAAAUGCGUAGAUAUCGUAAGGAAGACCAGUGGCGAAGGCGGAUCUCUGGACAGUUACUGACACUGAGGCACGAAGGCCAGGGGAGCAAAGACGG
rnacentral:rRNA from 1 species